UACGUAGGGGGCAAGCGUUGUCCGGAAUCAUUGGGCGUAAAGAGCGUGUAGGCGGCCACUUAAGUCCUGCGUGAAAUCCUGCGGCUCAACCGCAGGCGGUCGUGGGAAACUGGGUGGCUAGAGUGCGGGAGAGGAGAGUGGAAUUCCUGGUGUAGUGGUGGAAUGCGCAGAUAUCAGGAAGAACACCCGUGGCGAAGGCGGCUCUCUGGAACGCAACUGACGCUGAGACGCGAAAGCGUGGGGAGCAAACAGG
rnacentral:rRNA from 1 species